CAGCCGCCGCGGUAAUACGAGGGGGGCAAGCGUUGUUCGGAGUUAUUGGGCGUAAAGGGCGCGUGGGCGGUUUGACAAGUCUUAUGUGAAAUCUUCGGGCUCAACUCGAAGUCUGCAUGGGAAACUGUCGGGCUUGAGUAUGGGAGAGGUAAGUGGAAUUUCCGGUGUAGCGGUGAAAUGCGUAGAUAUCGGAAGGAACACCUGUGGCGAAAGCGGCUCACUGGACCGUAACUGACGCUGAGGCGCGAAAGCUAGGGGAGCAAACAGGAUUAGAUACCCCCGUAGUCCCUGUCUCUUUACC
rnacentral:rRNA from 1 species